AUACGGAGGGUGCAAGCGUUAUUCGGAAUUACUGGGCGUAAAGCGCGUGUAGGCGGACCGAUAAGUUGGGAGUGAAAGCCCUGGGCUCAACCCAGGAAGUGCUUCCAAUACUGCCGGCCUUGAGUCCCGGAGAGGGUGGUGGAAUUCCCGGUGUAGAGGUGAAAUUCGUAGAUAUCGGGAGGAACACCAGUGGCGAAGGCGACCACCUGGACGAGAACUGACGCUGAGACGCGAAAGCGUGGGGAGC
rnacentral:rRNA from 1 species